AUAUUGGACAAUGGGCGAAAGCCUGAUCCAGCAAUGCCGCGUGAGUGAUGAAGGCCUUAGGGUUGUAAAGCUCUUUUACCCGGGAUGAUAAUGACGGUACCGCAAGAAUAAGCCCCGGCUAACUUCGUGCCAGCAGCCGCGGUAAUACGAAGGGAGCUAGCGUUGUUCGGAAUCACUGGGCGUAAAGCGCACGUAGGCGGAUGUGUCAGUCAGGGGUGAAAUCCCGGGGCUCAACUUCGGAACUGCCCUUGAUACAGCACGUCUUGAGUCCGAGAGAGGUGGAUGGAAUUCCUAGUGUAGAGGUGAAAUUCGUAGAUAUUAGGAAGAACACCGGUGGCGAAGGCGGUCCACUGGCUCGGUACUGACGCUGAGGUGCGAAAGCGUGGGGAGCAAAC
rnacentral:rRNA from 1 species